CUCAAAGGAAUUGACGGGACCCGCACAAGCAGCGGAGCGUGUGGUUUAAUUCGUUGCUACACGAAGAACCUUACCUGGGUUUGACAUAUAGGUGUAGGGAACUGAAAGGGACCGACCUUCGGGAGCCUAUACAGGUGUUGCAUGGCUGUCGUCAGCUCGUGUCGUGAGAUGUUCGGUUAAGUCCGCUAACGAGCGCAACCCUCGUCGUAUGUUAUAUGUGUCAUACGAGACUGCCGGUAAAAGCCGGAGGAAGGUGAGGAUGAUGUCAAGUCAGCAUGACCUUUAUAUCCAGGGCUACACACACGCUACAAUGGUCUGUACAAUGGGUAGCCAAGCCGCGAGGCGGAGCCAAUCCUGAAAGCAGGCCUCAGUUCAGAUUGCAGUCUGCAACUCGACUGCAUGAAGCCGGAGUUGCUAGUAACCGCAGGUCAGCAAUACUGCGGUGAAUACGUUCCCGGGUCUU
rnacentral:rRNA from 1 species